rfam:Candidatus Yanofskybacteria bacterium RIFCSPLOWO2_01_FTLL_42_49 rifcsplowo2_01_scaffold_29435, whole genome shotgun sequence.
UUGGAGGCUGCAACUUGCCUCCAUGAAGCCGGAAUUGCUAGUAAUCGCAGAUCAGAAUGCUGCGGUGAAUACGUUCUCGAAUUUUGCACUCAGAAUGAAAUGCGCGUGGCAGUUUGUAAAACCAGAUUGUUAAAAUCAAUCCCUC